AGGAGCGAAAGCAUGGGGAGCGAACAGGAUUAGAUACCCUGGUAGUCCAUGCCGUAAACGUUGGGCACUAGGUGUGGGGACCAUUCCACGGUUUCCGCGCCGCAGCUAACGCAUUAAGUGCCCCGCCUGGGGAGUACGGCCGCAAGGCUAAAACUCAAAGGAAUUGACGGGGGCCCGCACAAGCGGCGGAGCAUGCGGAUUAAUUCGAUGCAACGCGAAGAACCUUACCAAGGCUUGACAUGUUCUCGAUCGCCGUAGAGAUACGGUUUCCCCUUUGGGGCGGGUUCACAGGUGGUGCAUGGUUGUCGUCAGCUCGUGUCGUGAGAUGUUGGGUUAAGUCCCGCAACGAGCGCAACCCUCGUUCCAUGUUGCCAGCACGUAGUGGUGGGGACUCAUGGGAGACUGCCGGGGUCAACUCGGAGGAAGGUGAGGACGACGUCAAAUCAUCAUGCCCCUUAUGUCUUGGGCUUCACGCAUGCUACAAUGGCCGGUACAAUGGGUUGCGAUACUGUGAGGUGGAGCUAAUCCCAAAAAGCCGGUCUCAGUUCGGAUUGGGGUCUGCAACUCGACCCCAUGAAGUCGGAGUCGCUAGUAAUCGCAGAUCAGCAACGCUGCGGUGAAUACGUUCCCGGGCCUUGUACA
rnacentral:rRNA from 1 species